rnacentral:rRNA from 1 species
GUUCCUACGGGGCGCAGCAGUAGGGAAUUUUCGGCAAUGGACGAAAGUCUGACCGAGCAACGCCGCGUGAGGGAGGAAGUACUUCGGUAUGUAAACCUCUGUUCUACAGGAAGACCGGUAUAAUCAUGGAAUGGGUUAUAAGUGACGGUACUUUAUGAGGAAGCCACGGCUAACUACGUUCCAGCAGCCGCGUUAAUACGUAGGUGGCGAGCGUUAUCCGGCAUCCUUGUGCGU